rnacentral:tRNA from 1 species
GCCCUAGUGGCAAAAUGGUUUAACGCUUGGCUGCUAACCAAAAGUUGAAGGUUCAAACCUUCCAGUGGCU